GUAGGUGGCAAGCGUUGUCCGGAAUUAUUGGGCGUAAAGCGCGCGCAGGCGGUUCUUUAAGUCUGAUGUGAAAGCCCACGGCUCAACCGUGGAGGGUCAUUGGAAACUGGAGAACUUGAGUACAGAAGAGGAAAGCGGAAUUCCACGUGUAGCGGUGAAAUGCGUAGAGAUGUGGAGGAACACCAGUGGCGAAGGCGGCUUUCUGGUCUGUGACUGACGCUGAGGCGCGAAAGCGUGGGGGAGCAAACAGGAUUAGAUACCCUGGUAGUCCACGCCGUAAACGAUGAGUGCUAAGUGUUAGGGGGUUUCCGCCCCUUAGUGCUGCAGCUAACGCAUUAAGCACUCCGCCCUGGGAGUACGGCCGCAAGGCCG
rnacentral:rRNA from 1 species